rnacentral:rRNA from 1 species
UACGUAGGGACCAAGCGUUGUUCGGAUUUACUGGGCGUAAAGGGCGCGUAGGCGGCCAUUCAAGUCAGUUGUGAAAUCUCCGAGCUUAACUCGGAACGGUCAACUGAUACUGUCUUGCUAGAGUACAGAAGGGGCAAUCGGAAUUCUUGGUGUAGCGGUGAAAUGCGUAGAUAUCAAGAGGAACACCUGAGGUGAAGACGGGUUGCUGGGCUGAUACUGACGCUGAGGCGCGAAAGCUAGGGGAGCAAACAGG